rnacentral:RNase_P_RNA from 1 species
GCAGUGCUCCGGCUUGUCGCUGGCAUUCCCUGAUGGGGAUGAAAGAGGAAAGUCCGGGCAGCAAAGGGCAUCCCACUUCCGAAAAUAGAAGCUAUUGGUGACAGUAGGUGUCGGUAGAAGAAAACAACCGCCCGAAACUUAUUCCGUAGCGAUGGAGCUUUCAGCAUACGUCGUGGUUUAGUGUCGGGUAAGGGUGAGAAGGUGGUGUAAGAGACCACCAGCUGGCGGGUGAUCGCCAGGCUGUGCCAUCUGGGAGCUGUAAGCUCAUGUAAACCGCAGAUUGAGGGCGGCUCGUCCGAUUGCCUUUGGGCUACUGUGGAGGGUAGAGUGCUUGAGCCCAGGGGUGACUCUGGGACUAGAUAAAUGACAGGCACCUGUUUCCUUUCUUGGGGCAGGUACAGAACUCGGCUUAUAGGAGCACUGCUUUC